CCAAUAGCGUAUAUUAAAGUUGUUGCAGUUAAAAAGCUCGUAGUUGAACCUCGGGAUCAAUGGAUCGGUCAUGCCAUCGGUAUGUACUGGUCUCAUUGGUUCUCACCUUCUAAGGAACCAUGAUGUCAUUCAGUUGAUGUUGUGGGGAAUUAGGACUGUUACCUUGAAAAAAUUAGAGUGUUUAAAGCAGGCUAACGCUUGAAUACAUUAGCAUGGAAUAAUGAAAUAGGACAUCGCAUUCUAUUUUGUUGGUUUCUAGGAUCGAUGUAAUGAUUAAUAGGGAUAGUUGGGGGCAUUAGUAUUCAAUUGUCAGAGGUGAAAUUCUUGGAUUUAUUGAAGACUAACUACUGCGAAAGCAUUUGCCAAGGAUGUUUUAAUUAAUCAAGAACGAAAGUUAGGGGAUCGAAGACGAUCAGAUACCGUCGUAGUCUUAACCAUAAACUAUGCCGACGAGGGAUCGGAUGAUGUUGAUUUUUUAAUGACUCAUUCGGCACCUUACG
rnacentral:rRNA from 1 species